rnacentral:rRNA from 1 species
GACGAACGUUGGCGGCGUGCUUAAUACAUGCAAGUCAACUGAAGCACCGGUAGCAAUACUGGUGUGGAGGUGGCGCACGGGUGAGUAACACGUAGGUAAUCUGCCUUCAGGUCUGACAUAACUCCGGGAAACCGAAGCUAAUAUCAGAUGAUGCAGCGGCUUGACAUCAAGACAGUUGUUAAAGCUUCGGCGCCUGAAGAUGAGCCUGCGUCUGAUUAGCUAGUUGGCGGGGUAACGGCCCACCAAGGCAACGAUCAGUAGCUGGUCUGAGAGGAUGAUCAGCCACACUGGAACUGAGACACGGUCCAGACUCCUACGGGAGCAGCAGUAAGGAAUAUUGCUCAAUGGGAGAAAUCCUGAAGCAGCAACGCCGCGUGAGGGAUGAAGGGUCUUUUG